ensembl:lncRNA
CACACACACACACACACACACACACACACACACACACAUAUAUACAUACACACAGGCAAACGAAAACAAAAAAAGUAUCAAUUAAUUUAGUAGCCUCCCACAGGGAAAUAUAUAUGCUCAGAAUAAAAAGAGAAAUGUUAAAUAGUGAUGAAUGUACAAAUCAUUAAAGGGGGCAUACAGAGGAAUAACUGAUAAAAAGUUGUCAAUAUACUAUUGAUUUCAGUGAAUGGAAUGUAAUAUGCCUAAUUUAUUCAAUUAUAAUAUUGGAAGAAUUGGAAUAGAAAUGAAGAAUCUUGAUGCCCAAGUCAACAUUCUCCCCAUUUUAAGCACUUAUGUUGUUGGUUUUGUUUUUCCAGAGAAAUGGAAUUAAAAAGACAAGAGCUGGCAACACAAGCAGCCUGGGAAUGUAAAGCUGAGAAAUUUUUCAUCGAAAUUAAAGAGAUACAUGCCAUGGAAAAGAAGGAAACUUCAAAAGAACCAAAUAGGACUGAGAAUGAAAACAUAAUUUAUGAUGCUCCAACUCUGGCAUAUUUCCGGACAGUCAGAGAAAAUGCAUUCAAAAAACUAGAGCUAGAAAGAAGGACAACCUGGGAAGAAAAAGCCUGAAGUUGAUCAGUGAAUUGAAAGAGAUGUGUGCCAUGAAAGAAAUUGAAGCUAGGGAAGAUGAAAAGGUCAUUGAAAAGGACAAUCGUUUUUAUGAUGAUUUGACUCUGGCAUCUCAUUUGAGAACCAGAGCAACUGAAUUUGAAAAACAGAAACUGGCAAUAAAGACCAUUUUUGAAGAGAAAACACAGACAUUUCUCAAGGAAAUCAAAGAGAUAUGUGCUAUGGAAGUAAAUUAUGUUACAGAAAUGGAAAACUUGAAUAAGAAGGAAAACACAACCAAAAAAGAAAAGAUUAUUUAUCGUUCUUCCAUCCUGGCACCGCUCUGGAAAAUCGGAGAAAGUGAUUUCAAAAAACAAGAACUGGCUAAAACAGCAAUUUUAGAAGAACAAACGCAAACGUUCCUCAAGGACAUUAAAGAGAUAUGUGCCAUGAGACCCCUACACACAUUACAAGAAAUAUUUUAA